rnacentral:rRNA from 1 species
GACGAACGCUGGCGGCGUGCCUAAUACAUGCAAGUAGAACGCUGAAGAGAGGAGCUUACUCUUCUUGGAUGAGUUGCGAACGGGUGAGUAACGCGUAGGUAACCUGCCUUGUAGCGGGGGAUAACUAUUGGAAACGAUAGCUAAUACCGCAUAACAAUGGAUGACACAUGUCAUUUAUUUGAAAGGGGCAAUUGCUCCACUACAAGAUGGACCUGCGUUGUAUUAGCUAGUAGGUGAGGUAAUGGCUCACCUAGGCGACGAUACAUAGCCGACCUGAGAGGGUGAUCGGCCACGCUGGGACUGAGACACGGCCCAGACUCCUACGGGAGGCAGCAGUAGGGAAUCUUCGGCAAUGGGGGCAACCCUGACCGAGCAACGCCGCGUGAGUGAAGAAGGUUUUCGGAUCGUAAAGCUCUGUUGUAAGUCAAGAACGGGUGUGAGAGUGGAAAGUUCACACUGUGACGGUAGCUUACCAGAAAGGGACGGCUAACUACGUG